ACUGUGUUGAUGGCGCCCCGGGCCCGCCCUUAGGAAGUCGUGCGCUCAGAGCUUGGAUCCAGAUAGCGUCUACGACAGAGGUGCCAGCAAGGCCGGCGCACCCUGCGGGCCCGGGUCGCACCCCGCCUGCCUCCCGGGGCCCGCUUGUCCCCGCGCUAGCUCGCAGUCGGCGGUACAGGUCCCCGGUCGCCGAACCGUUGGUGCAGGAUCUAGGCUCCCGCCUGCCGCCCCUCUCCUACACACCCUGGGCACGCACGCGGCUGGGGCAUUAGAAUCGCGCAGUACCUGGCAACUCACCUAGGCCUCCAGGAGGGUGCACCAGGAGCCACUGCUCUGAAGUGAAACAGCAUCAUACUGUCCCCCUGAGCCACAUGCCCAAUGUGGAGAGAUGUGCUGAGCUGUGUGAACAGAAUGAGUCUUCGAGUGGAGUCUGGAACCAGACCUCUGUCUUAGUGGAGGAGCCAGUGGCCAUUGUCUCCAAGGCUUAGAGCCUAAGGAUGCCCUUGUUAAAAAUGUGGAAACAUGGACUGCUUAAGCUGUGAGGUCAUGACUCAAAAUGUGAAGUCACAGGAAAUGGAUUCCUGUUUUGAAUAAACUUCUCUUUGUCUUUUGCAUCUACACUGUCAA